rnacentral:rRNA from 1 species
CUACGGGUCGCUCCAGUGAGGAAUAUUGCACAAUGGGGGGAACCCUGAUGCAGCAACGCCGCGUGGAGGAUGACGCAUUUCGGUGUGUAAACUCCUUUUAUAUGUCAAGAAAAUGACGGUAGCAUAUGAAUAAGCACCGGCUAACUCCGUGCCAGCAGCCGCGGUAAUACGGAGGGUGCAAGCGUUACUCGGAAUCACUGGGCGUAAAGGACGCGUAGGCGGGUUGGAAAGUCAGGUGUGAAAUCCUACAGCUUAACUGUAGAACUGCACUUGAAACUUCUAAUCUAGAGUAUGGGAGGGGGAGAUGGAAUUAGUGGUGUAGGGGAAAAAUCCGUAGAUAUCACUAGGAAUACCUAAAGCGAAGGCGAUCUCCUGGAACAUUAUUGACGCUGAGACGCGAAAGCGUGGGGAGCAAACAGGAUUAGAUACCCCAGUAGUC